GACGAACGCUGGCGGCGUGCUUAACACAUGCAAGUCGAACGGAAAGGCCCUUCGGGGUACUCGAGUGGCGAACGGGUGAGUAACACGUGGGUGAUCUGCCCUGCACUUUGGGAUAAGCCUGGGAAACUGGGUCUAAUACCGAAUAGGACCACGCGCUUCAUGGUGUGUGGUGGCAAGCUUUUGCGGUGUGGGAUGGGCCCGCGGCCUAUCAGCUUGUUGGUGGGGUAAUGGCCUACCAAGGCGACGACGGGUAGCCGGCCUGAGAGGGUGACCGGCCACACUGGGACUGAGAUACGGCCCAGACUCCUACGGGAGGCAGCAGUGGGGAAUAUUGCACAAUGGGCGCAAGCCUGAUGCAGCGACGCCGCGUGAGGGAUGACGGCCUUCGGGUGGUAAACCUCUUUCAAUAGGGACGAAGCGCAAGUGACGGUACCUAUAGAAGAAGCACCGGCCAACUACGU
rnacentral:rRNA from 1 species